GUCCCUGUAGCUCAGUUGGACAGAGCAGCUGCCUUCUAAGCAGCGGGUCGUGGGUUCGAAUCCCGCCGGGGACGCCA
rnacentral:tRNA from 1 species